rnacentral:misc_RNA from 1 species
GAUGAAGAACGCAGCGAAAUGCGAUAAGUAAUGUGAAUUGCAGAAUUCAGUGAAUCAUCGAAUCUUUGAACGCACAUUGCGCCCGCCAGCAUUCUGGCGGGCAUGCCUGUUCGAGCGUCAUUUCAACCCUCGAGCCCCCCCGGGGGCCUCGGUGUUGGGGGACGGCACACCAGCCGCCCCCGAAAUGCAGUGGCGACCCCGCCGCAGCCUCCCCUGCGUAGUAGCACACACAUCGCACCGGAGCGCGGAGGCGGUCACGCCGUAAAACGCCCAACUUUCUUAGAGUUGACCUCGGAUCAGGUAGGAAUACCCGCUGAACUUAAGCAUAUCAAUAAGCGGAGGA